rnacentral:siRNA from 1 species
GGACGUGGGGUGCAGACGUUGA